rnacentral:rRNA from 1 species
AGAGUUUGAUCCUGGCUCAGAGUGAACGCUGGCGGCGUGGAUUAGGCAUGCAAGUCGCGCGAUGGUGCUUGCACCAUAGCGGCAAACGGGUGAGGAACACGUGAGCAAUUUUCCCUAAUGUCGAGCAUAGCAUCGUGAAAACGAUGGUAAUUCUCGAUAUGUCUAUCUGAUCGCAUGAUCAGAAGGGUAAAGGUGGGGACCGCAAGGCCUGCCGCAUUAGGAUGAGCUCGCGUCCUAUCAGCUUGUUGGUGAGGUAAUGGCUCACCAAGGCGUUUGACGGGUAGCUGGUCUGAGAGGAUGGUCAGCCACACUGGGACUGAGACACUGCCCAGACUCCUACGGGAGGCUGCAGUCGAGAAUCUUUAGCAAUGGACGAAAGUCUGACUAUGCAACGCCGCGUGAAGGAUGAAGGUUUUCGGAUCGUAAACUUCUUUUGUCAGGAAAGAAACCCCAAAGUUUAAUAGGCUUUGGGUUGACGGUACCUGACGAAUAAGCCACGGCCAACUCCGUGCCAGCAGCCGCGGUAAUACGGAGGUGGCGAGCGUUACUCGGAAUCAUUGGGUGUAAAGGGCAAGUAGGCGGUUUAUUAAGUGAGGGGUGAAAUCUUCCGACUCAAUCGGAAAAUUGCCUUUCAAACUGAUAGACUUGAGGCUGUGAGGGGGAAAUGGAAUUCGCGGUGUAAGGGUGAAAUCUGUAGAUAUCGCGAAGAACACCGGUGGCGUAGGCGAUUUCCUGGCGCAGUCCUGACGCUGAAUUGCGAAAGCUAGGGGAGCGAACAGAAUUAGAUACUCUGGUAGUCCUAGCCGUAAACGAUGAGCACUAGGUGUUGGACCUUCGGGUUCAGUGCCGCAGCUAACGCAUUAAGUGCUCCACCUGGGGACUACGGCCGCAAGGUUAAAACUCAAAGGAAUUGACGGGGACCCGCACAAGCGGUGGAACAUGUGGUUUAAUUCGAUGCUACGCGAAGAACCUCACCAGGGCUUGACAUGUAAGGAGUAGGGAAUCCGAAAGGUGACCGACCCGUUAAGUCCGGGAAUUUACACAGGUGCUGCAUGGCUGUCGUCAGCUCGUGUCGUGAGAUGUUGGGUUAAGUCCCGCAACGAGCGCAACCAUUGCCCCAUGUUGCUACCCCUGUAAACCUGCUUGCAGGUUUUAAGGGCGCACUCUUGGGGGACUGCCUGGGAUAACCAGGAGGAAGGCGGAGAUGACGUCAAGUCAGUACGGCCUUUACGCCCUGGGCUACACACGUGUUACAAUGGCUGGUACAAAGGGUUGCCAACCCGCGAGGGGGAGCUAAUCUCAAAAACCCAGCCUCAGUUCGGAUUGGAGUCUGCAAUUCGACUCCAUGAAGCCGGAAUCGCUAGUAAUGGGAGAUCAGCACGCUCCCGUGAAUACGUUCCCGGGUCUUGUACACACCGCCCGUCAAGCGAUGAGAGCUGGGGGUACCCGAAGUCCUAUGUAGAUAGGCCGAAGGUAAAACCGGUGAUUGGCGCUAAGUCGUGACAAGGUA